rnacentral:rRNA from 1 species
UACGUAGGGGGCGAGCGUUGUCCGGAUUUAUUGGGCGUAAAGAGCUCGUAGGCGGCUUGUCGCGUCGACCGUGAAAACUUGGGGCUCAACCCCAAGCUUGCGGUCGAUACGGGCAGGCUAGAGUUCGGUAGGGGAGACUGGAAUUCCUGGUGUAGCGGUGAAAUGCGCAGAUAUCAGGAGGAACACCGGUGGCGAAGGCGGGUCUCUGGGCCGAUACUGACGCUGAGGAGCGAAAGCGUGGGGAGCGAACAGG